GAGAUGAAUGAAUGAAAAUCUUGGAGGAGUUAAGCAAUUUGUCUGAAGUCCCAUGCCUGGUCAAUAGUAAGUUUGGGAUUCAAAUAAGUCAUUUUAGCAAAACAACAUUGCUCUAGGCAGAGGAGGGGAGUGUGGUGUACAAUUUUUCUGAAGUACAUACACACAUACAAAAUUUCAAGGAGUUGUGAGAACCAGGGUGAUGAAGCAGAGAACAUGGAAAACAAUCUGUCUACCUAAGCUUUGGGUAAACCUGGGAUAACAUAAUAUUUGGACUCUGUCCUAGGUCAGAAUAUAUCUAAGAGAAUUUGCCUCUGUCCUUUUCCCCCAUUUUAUCUAAAAGGACGAAAGAAUAAUUAGGAGUGUGCAUGCAUGACAAAACUAGGCUCUUAAUUCCUUUCAAAAGAAUGAGUUACACUAGACUUUCUUGCGUAUCUUUAUCUGGGAAGUGUUAAAAUAAAUAUUCCAGAGAGACAGAUUCAGAAUUAGAAAAGCCAUAAGUGACUCAACAGCCAUUUCCAGCAUUUAAAUCAAGACUAAUCACAUAGUUCCCAGUGUUAGCCCAAGUCCCUUCCACCUAUUUCUCUUCUCUGCCAAUAACCAGUUUUUAAUCUAUUUCAGGAAGGAGUCCAGGGCACUGUGGAAAAGAAAGUUAUCCUUAAAAUACUUCCUGAAGCAUUACCAGAAAUCAUGUUUUGAAUUUCUAAAUGACUUGCAUUGUUCUAAAUUUUUAGGCUGCGCCCAUGACCACAAAGAUAAAUGGGCAUUGGGACAACCAUGUGAAGGACCAAGUUGCAACAUGAAGUCACGAAAUACCACAUGAACUGAAUCUUCAAGAACCCACUGGAUAUGGAUCACCCUGAUUCAACAACACAGUUAAUCAUAUCCUCAGGUCUACAGCAAAAGUAGUGGUUCUUAACCUGGGCUGCACAAAAGAAUCACCGGAGGAAGUUUUUGGGUUUUGUUUUUGUGCUUUAUAAUACCACUGUCUGGGCCCCAACAUCACAGAUUUGGAUUAAUUAGUAUAAGGUGGGGCCAGGCAUUCAGAUUUUAUAAAGCUCCCUAGGUGAUUCAAUGUGAGCCAGAGUGGAGCACCACUAUAUUAGCUGUAUACAAUGGAUUCAGGAAUUUUACCCCCCAACCCUUUAGGGCCACCAGAACUGCCAUCAUGUCUUUAUAUCCUAUGAAAACUUGUGCAAGUUACUGAUCCCUGAGAGUUAGUUUCCACAUCUCUAAAAUGGAGAUCAGAACACCUUUGAAGCAUGUGCUUUAGCACAGGGCCCAGAUCACCAUAUUUUCUAAAUAAACGUCUAUGAAUCUAGACA
rnacentral:lncRNA from 1 species